GGCAACAUGGAGACUUCACUUAAAUGAAGGAAAGGAGACUUGGACUUCGAAUAACAUCAUCAGCUGAUGGCUGCAGAGAGACGAUAAGGGCAACUCUCUUUAUUAUUGUCUGUUGGGCAACAAAUGGAGAUGUCUGCCAAUAAGUUAAUGUGGCCAUUCUGUUGAAAUAUGAGAGGAGAGGAGCGACGAAU